AGUCGAGGAUCUUCGGCAAUGAGCGCAAGCUUGACCGAGCGACGCCGCGUGGGCGAUGAAGGCCUUCGGGUUGUAAAGCCCUGUCGAGGGGGAGAAAAGAGCAAUCUUGAUCUAUCCCUGGAGGAAGCACGGGCUAAGUUCGUGCCAGCAGCCGCGGUAAGACGAACCGUGCGAACGUUAUUCGGAAUCACUGGGCUUAAAGGGUGCGUAGGCGGGUUGCCAAGUCUGUGGUGAAAUCCUCCAGCUUAACUGGAGAACGGCCGUGGAUACUGGCGACCUCGAGGGGGAUAGGGGCUUGCGGAACUGUGCGUGGAGCGGUGAAAUGCGUUGAUAUGCACAGGAACUCCGGUGGCGAAGGCGGCGAGCUGGAUCCCUUCUGACGCUGAAGCACGAAAGCCAGGGGAGCGAA
rnacentral:rRNA from 1 species